UGUGAUCCGCAGGUGAAGAUAGGUGCAGAAAGAAAGGGAAGGUGCUCAAUCUGUGUUCAUAACACAAAGUCUAUGCUUAGUGUGGUGUACUUAAGAUUUGUAUAUCUACUUGUAAUUCAUGUUUGGACUUAUCAUAUUUCAGAAGCCAACUGAUCUAUGUUUCAGACCUUAAUCUCAAGCUGCUCUUCUCAGAAUCUGUACUGGAGUCUUAUGCACUGAUCUAUGUGUUCAUAACACAUCGUUUGACAUGGGAAUAGCAGCUAAAAUCUUUUGUAUGAUUCUGUAGGAAAUUAGCAGGAGUAUAUUUUUCAUUACUACAGAUAACCAACUUUCUAUGGCAAACGGUGAGAGUUCAAAAGACAAUUCUAAGUAUGUCAAUUAUCUUAGUUGGUAACGAGUGGAAUUACUUCCCGUCUUCAUCAUUUAUUAUUUAUAGUGUAAAAAUAUAUAUUUAUAAUAAAAAUUUUAGAUAAAUUAACAUAUAUAUAUAUAUAUAUAUAAAGAUAUUGAUGUGUAAAAUAAAGAUUAAGUUAAAAAUAAAAAAUUAUAGUAGUAAUAUAAAAAAAAAAAGUUGAAUGCAUAUAGUAACUCUAUUUCACUCUGACUCAAAAUCCUCACAGAAGCAGUAUCUAAUAAAAGAUAGAAAAUUGAAGAGUAGUCUCUCUCUCUCUCUCGAUAAAGGAUGGAUUAAAUAUAAAGGAAAAAUAUUAUUUUCUAUCAACCAUUGGAAUUUUAAGGUUCCGCUUUGGACUCGGACGCCAACAUUGACAUCAGCACCAAGAUCGACUCUCGGACGCGUGCUUAUCGUUGAUUCGACUAAAACCCAGAACCCACCUGCUUUGGGCCCACAAGGAGUUCCCACUGUACCUUCUCAUCUAAUCGAAAUGUUCCCGCAGCAAAUCCCACUGCUUCUCAUGUCGCCUUCCGCAGCCGACCAAGAUUCAAGAUGGAGCACGGCGGCGAUCCCAUCCCCUACUUCUUCCAUUUCAUGGAAGAUCUUAAAACGCUGCGAGGGGAGAACAAUAGAUGCACGGAGGCGAAUCGGAGAGUGAAUUCGGAAAUUGGACGUCCAUUUCCAUUCCCGUUUCCCAAAAGAGGGAGGAAAAAGAAACGGGUUGCAAUUCUGAGGAAAAACGUAGAGAUGGCCCUCAUUUCGGAGAUUGCGGACGAGGCCCCUGACGAGGAGGAAGGGUCGACGGCGAUGGUGGAGCCCAAAGAGGAGCCGCGUGGUGAGAGUUCACAAGGGUCGCCGGUGGAGGAGCCGUCGAAAAUGGGACCGUCGUUGGGGGGGGGGGCAGACGCUUUAUAAGGAGUGCGCGCUCCGCGUGGCCUACGUCAUGCGGAGCUACCUCCUCAUGCGGCAGGUCGGCACCCCAGGCCACGGCCAGCCUCCAGCUCCGCCCCCGCGGGAGGGCAGAUGCAAGGCGAUGAUGGAGGUGGUGCGGAAGGAGCAUGGCAGUUGGAUGGUUUCGAAGUUUGUCGCUGAGCACAACCACGGGCUUCUGCCAGGUCAUGUGCUGGCUGGUGGAGGUCAGGGCGUGGUUUUGGCGCCGGCGGUAGGCACGGAAUUUGAGUCCGUGGAGGCCGCGAAGACCUUCUAUUACGGCUACGGUGAGAAAUUGGGGUUCAAGGCUCAGACGGGCUCUAACCGUAGGUCGGCAGGCAGCAGAGCGCUCAUCAUGCAGAGGUUCUUGUGUUGGCGGGGCAAUUAUCUGAUAUACAGGAGGAGUUUCAUUUCUAGUGUUGGGAAACGGAAGCGAGAGCUCACAGGCUCGUGCAGGAGGUGUCAAGAGCUAAGAAAGAUCAGGAUGCUGCAGAGGUUUCUUAAGUUGAGAGCUCUACUGAGAAGGUAGCACCGGCUGGAGAGGAUCAUGGUCAAGAGGUUCAGAGUGGCAGUCUUAGAAAAGUAGUCACAUCUUUGGAGAAAGAUGUGAGGCCAAAACCAAUUUCUUCAGCUGGUUUGGCAACCGCAUCAAAGGCUAGAGUGAAGGAUGGUGGUAAGACAAACCCUGCAGCCAAUGCUAGUCAAUCUCAGCUAUUGAGAGCACUUGGUGUGAGAGUGUAUAGGUACACAGAGGAAGAAAGGAGAGAUAUAAUUCUUAUGUACUUGAUGAAACAAACAAAUAGAGCAGGCAUAAAAAGGCCUACCAAGGUAUGCUUAUGAAUUCUUCUAGUUGCAGAAUUCCCCAUUACAUUGGAUCAUGAAGAAUUUUUUAGUAGAACCAGAUGUUAGUCAUAGCUGCGACAUACGGAGAGCUACAAUUAUUGAUCAUAUUGUUGGAGUACUCACACUCUCUGGCCACAUGGAUUGAGUUUUUCGAUCAGGCAGUUUGGUUGUUCACGUUUUGUUGAAUGGCCACUGGUUCCUGCACUUUGUAGGUUCCUUCAAGGUAAGCUUUGGCUGAAGGCAUCAGCGGGGUAUUGGAGGAUGAUUUCUUAGCAGAGAUGAAUUGCAGUUAGAAGAUAUUCUUAUAGAUUCUUAGGCUAAGCUCUUGAGUAUUUCUUGGUGUCAGUAAGUCAUUUAUCAGCAUCGUCUAGCCAUAUUUUGCUUAUAGAAUCAUUUGUCUUUUUGGACAUUUAAUAAGUACAGGAUCUGCCGUAUUGGCAUCUUUCAAUAGAGAUCUAUUGAAAGAUGUUUAGUUUAUUCUUUCUAGCUAUUUUUGGAUUAUUUAAAGAUAACCUCGUCAGAUUAAGAGAAAAUAUUUAAUUGUUGACUUGAUGGAUAAACAAGGAGCAUCAGUGAUAAAAUGUAUGAUGAAAACCUUAUACUAGUGAUUGAGUAUUCUUUAUAUGAAGCAUGUUAUGAUCACAAAUAAAAUUACUUUUUGUCACACAUCAAGAUAGCAUUUGUGUGACCUUGUCUUUCAUCCUAUAUAAGAGAGAAGAAAGAAAUAUCUUGGUGCUACCAUUCAUGUAAGUUAAUUGUGUUGGAAUCUUAAUAAUGAUCAAUUCAACAGGAAUAUAUGAGUAGGAUCUCUGGAUUUUGGCAUUCCGGUUUUCUUGCUGAGAAGAAUCAUUAGAAAGCACGAUGCUGAUGAACCGUGCAACUCCAUCUGCGAAGGGUUUACCUACAGCUUGCAUAUAGCAUUGCAAUAUAUUUCUUAAAGAUUUAGUACUAAUAAUGGUGUGUACUUACUGUACACAAAACAUAUUUAAUUCACCUUUCUGUUUCUUUGAAGAUGCAUGAAGUGAAGCUGUCGUUUUCUGUUGCCUUCAUCCAUGCUUGUUUUCUUAUUGAGAAAUUUGUAACAAGUGAGCAAAUGUUACACACAAUGUCUGUGCCGGAUUUGGCAUCAAAGAAGAGUGAACAGCUAAUAAGAGUGUAGAUUAUGUAGGUUUUAUUGCUUGUCGUUCUAGUGCUUCUUGGGAUUGUGAACAUACUGCAAGUUGUUGAAAGCAAUUAAUGCAUAUGGUGUAGAUUUGCAAUCAAUGUGUAUGGUCAGGGACUUAGUGCUUAAGGAUGAUAUUGCACCUACAAAUUAUGGUGUAGAUUUGCAAUCUGUCCUAAGUUUCUUGGCAAAGAAAUAUACAGUUUGUUGCUUUGUUGAAUUCCAUGAUGCAAGUCUUUCCAACUGAAUAGUGUAUGUAAAUUGAUGCUGUGGUUUUAGAAGUUUAUCAUCCGCGAGCAGAUAUAGAAGUGAUUCAUUGUUCCAAUAUGCAUCUAUUACAUGUCUUUGACUCGUAUGUUCCUCCUAUCGCUUCAUGCUUUUGUGAACACGUCUUGAGCUAGUAUUUUUAGAAUAACUGAUUUUCCUUUACCCCCUUGUUAGAUUCCAAGAAGACGAGGAAAUUACAGAAGUGGUAUCACAUGCUCCCACAGAUGAUGCAUUAAAUGCAGGUGGAGAGCCAAAAGUUGGAAUGGUUUUCUCAAAUGAAGUUAAGGCAUAUGAGUUUUACAUUAGGUAUGCUGGAACUGUUGGUUUCAGUGUUCGGAAAGGUUGGUGGGAUAAAUCUGCUAGGAAUGUUACUAGAUCUAUAGUUUAUGUGUGCUCAAGAGAAGGGUAUCGUCCAACCAACAUAACAAAUGAGGCCAAGAAAACAGGAUCAGAAACAAGAACUGGUUGCUCGGCACGUUUGGCAAUCAAAAUUACACCUGACGGCAAAUAUUGUGUGAUUGAAUUUGUCGCUGACCAUAACCAUCAGCUCACAGCUCUCUUAGAUAUUCAAAUGUUGAGGUUACAAAGGCUGUUAGCUAAGUUUCAGACUGGAGGCCGACAAGGUGCCAGUCAAAUUCCUGCUAGUUACAAAAAUUAUCUCAGAUCAAAGCGUAUGAAGAACUUACAGAGUGGUGUUGCAGGUGCUUUGAUGGAGUAUUUGCAAAAGAUGAAAGGGGAUAACCCAUCUUUCUUUUAUGCCAUACAAGUUGAUGAAGCUGAGCAACUGACAAAUGUUUUCUGGGCAGAUCCAAAAUCCAUCAUGGAUUACCAUUACUUUGGUGACAUAAUAUGUUUUGACACAGCCUAUCAAAUAAAUGAUUAUGGCCGACCCUUGGUGCUGUUCACUGGUGUUAAUCAUCAUAAACAAAUAAUUAUUUUUGGUUCUGCAUUCCUGUAUGAUGUAAAUUUAGAAUCCUUUAAAUGGUUGUUGGAGACUUUCAAGAACACAACGGGUGGAGAACAGCCAAAGACAAUUUUAACAGAUCAGUUUUCAGCAAUCAGUGAUGCAAUUGCUGCUGCAUGGCUUGGCACAACUCACCGUCUUUCUGCAUGGCACAUAUAUCAGAAUCCGAAGAGGUACCUUUGUCAUGCUUUCCAAGGCUAUGAAACUUUUGCAGAUGAUUUUGGCAGAUGUAUGUAUGACUUGGAGGAGGAGCAGGAAUUCCUUUCUGCAUGGGAGGUAAUGCUGGAAAAGUAUGAUCUAAAAGACAAUGAAUGGUUAGGUCAGUUGUAUGGAAAAAAGAAGUGGGCGUUGGUCUAUGGACGUCAAGUUUUUUCUGCAGACUUAACAAAUACACUACGGAAUGAGAACUUGCACAGUGUUAUGAAUGAAUUCUUGACACCAGAGAUUGAUCUUUUGCCAUUUUUAAGGCAGUAUGAAAAGUUAUUAGAAGAGCAAUGAUAUGCAGAACGACAAGUUGAUUAUCUUGCAAACCAAGGGACGAACAGAAUACCUCCUCUGCGGAUGCUUUGGCAAGCUGCAAAUGCAUAUACCCCUGCAAUCUUUGAGAUGUUUAGAUUAGAGUUUGAGCUGUUCAGGAAUUGUGUGCUUUAUUCCUGCUGUGAGGUUGGAACUGUAGCCAAGUAUGAGGUUAAUACCGAUGAGAAAACAAAAGCACACUUUGUUACUUUUGACUUGUUAGAUGGUACAAGCUUAUGUAGCUGCAAAAAUUUUUGAGUUUGUUGGGGUCCAGUGUUGCCAUGCCUUGAAAGUACUCGACUUAAGAAACAUCAAGGAACUCCCACCACACUACAUUUUGAAAAGAUGGAGGAAAGAUGCUAAAGCACAUUUCAUAACACAUAAUCAUAACUUUGUUCUUGAUGGCAAUCACAAAUCAUCUCUAGCAGGACGUUGUCGCUCAUUGUGCCGCAUAUUGUAUCAAAUUGCAGUGAAGGCUGUAGAGAAUGCAGAAACAUAUGCUUUCAAGGAAAGCCAAUCAGAUCAGCUUCUGGAACAGAUUGAAAGCAUUUUAUACACCAAACUACUUGAGAAGACUGCCUCAACCACUGCCUCAAAGGGUCAACUGCAGAAUCUGGUUCAGAAUGGAAGUAACAGUGGUGGAUCGCACGGGUUAAGUGGUAAAUGGAAGAAGAAUGUGGACCCCCAUCCUAGCCUUCUAAAUGUGCUGGGCUCAAAUAAACAACAAAAGGGAUCACGAGGACUGUAUGGAACUUCAUUCUAGCAUUGUAUUUUUUUUCUCUCUUUUUCUUUGCAUGCUUAUGUUCCCAUCGUCUCUUUAUGUUUUUUGGAUUUCAGAAAGUGAUAUCCUCUACACUGUAGCAUGUAGUUAUCUAUUCUACUUAACAUAGGAGCAUCUGAUGAGGCCGAAGUUCCAGUGGGCAUUGCUGAAGGACCCUUAUCAACUGAUGUUACUUCUAAUGGUAGGAAUCCUCCACAGUUUUUUGUUCCAACUCAGUUCAUACAGGCGUCUUUUGUAUCUGCUCAUCAAUUUGGACUUAAUGGUGUACAAGGUUUCCAUGGAAUUGCACAAUUUAAUCAGGAAUCGUCAGCUACUACACUACAACAACCAUUUCAUAAUAGCUCUCAUUUGAGCCGCAUAAUCAUACUUGCCCAGUCUCAGAUGUAAAUGCCUUACAAUUUACCAUACCGGCAUGGGAUUUUCUAUAAACGUCUUAUUUACUUCCCAGUUCAAUGGUGAAGAACUGCAGUUAGGUAACAUGAAAAGUUAUGCCUCAUGGGAUUGAAUACAGAUUGCAAAUUCAGAUGUUUAUCAAGAAAGAAAAUGAGCUGUCAACCUUCACAGUGCAGAUAUGGUAUGAUUACGCCCAUUCCUUUGAUGGUUCAAUAGCUCUUGUCAUGCUCCCUUCAGCUACAUUUUUAUGGUUAUCUCAAGUAUUUUCUGGCUUGGAAAGUCUUCAGCCCCAUUUGCGUUUUUUUCUGUUCACAUGUUCUACAAGUAUAAUUGGUUUGUCAGCAUUGGUUAUUUUCUGGCUAAGAUUGUGGUUCGUUAAUCAGAAUGGUAGGUGGAAGUUUUGUUGGGAAAUGCAUUAGAAAAUGGUUACUAUUGUGGGAAAGAGGUUUGAAGGACAAGUGAAACAAACAGCAGCUAGUUUCAGCUGGGAAAUGCAUUAGAAAAUGGCUACAACCAUGGUAAAGAGAUACAGAAGGAUUGAAAAUGAAACAACUGCAGAUGCCAACAUGAAUUCUCUUGUCGAGUAUGGUAGAUGUAUUUGUCCGAGUGGUUCAAGCGUAGCAGAAAUGCAUUUUUGUGAUAUGCCAAUGCUAGAGACCUGAUUUGAAAUAUUUGCUGCGUCAACGGCCAUACGAAGAGCAUUAUGUAUCAGAGGUUUCAAGCAAAAUCAUGGACUAUUGGCUAAGCUUUGAUGCUAAUUGUUGCUGCAGGCAAGGGGAAAACAGUAAGCUCCAUCACUAGUGUCUCUCAUGUGAGUUCUCUAUUCAUCCAUUGGAAGUUUGCGCAAACCUCCAUUCAUGAGAAGCUUGUCAUAUCUGAUACUAAAUUACUAGAUAGCAUCAUGUAGAAUAACAUUGAAUUCUUGUAGACUCUUGAGUACUGGAUGAACUGCUGGAGCCUUUCUCUC